rnacentral:piRNA from 1 species
UAUCUAGUAUUUGCCCAGUUCUUC